rnacentral:rRNA from 1 species
UACAGAGGUCUCGAGCGUUAGGCGGAAUCACUGGGCUUAAAGCGUGUGUAGGCGGAUCGUUAAGUACCUUGUGAAAUCCCACGGCUUAACCGUGGAACUGCUUGGUAUACUGGCGGUCUUGAGCCAGCUAGGGGCUACCGGAACAAAUGGUGGAGCGGUGAAAUGCGUAGAUAUCAGGAGGAACACCAAUGGCGAAGGCAGCACUCUGGGACGUGACUGACGCUGAGACGCGAAAGCGUGGGGAGCAAACAGG